rnacentral:rRNA from 1 species
ACGCUCGACACCUACGGGGGCAGCAGUGGGGAAUAUUGCACAAUGGGGGAAACCCUGAUGCAGCGAUGCCGCGUGAAGGAAGAAGUAUCUCGGUAUGUAAACUUCUAUCAGCAGGGAAGAAAAUGACGGUACCUGACUAAGAAGCCCCGGCUAACUACGUGCAGCACGCCGGCGGUAAUCUGAGGCGGGCUGGCAAGGC